ensembl:lncRNA ITPR2-AS1 ITPR2 and SSPN antisense RNA 1
CAUCUUCAGCACAAACACAGAUGCCUGCAGGAGCUUGUGAGAAGUCAUCAGCCUGCAACCCAGAAGAGGACCUUCACCAGGAACCGUAUCAGCUGACACCGUGAUCUUGGACUUCUCAGCCUCCAGAACUGUAAAAGCAAGAUAAAGGAACACAAAAUGUACUCUUUCCCUAAUUGGAUAAAGUGAGAAAGGAUAUUAGAAAACCACCCAAUGGAACUGAUAAAAAUGAGUUGGAACUUGUGACCAGCAGCUGGAUGAGAGGAGUGUGAAUCCCCCAAAUCUUAUGGAUAUAGUGUGCUUUCUUUGAUGUUCCUGCCAAAGUGAGGCUGGAAAGCUAGGAAGAUCUGUAAGACGUGUGCCAGCACAAAGUGACUACAAUUCAAAAGUUCCAAAAACCUUGCUUGAAACAAUUGCAAAUAGCUCAUCAUUUUAAACCAGUGAACCCAAGGCUGAGUGUUUCAUCAAUUUACAGAAAACCAAGAAGAGAAAUCUGACAGCUAUCCCAGUGUAUGACUUACCAUGGAGAUCUUCAAAUAGAAUCACUUUGGUUUGGGUCUCAUUUUCAUAUUAUAACACAAAUUUGUGUAUGUGGGUUAAGAUUCAUAUUUGAUAGGAACUGCUGGGAAUUCUUGCAGUUAUAUCCUCAAAAGACAAAAUAAGCAUAACCAACAGAAUUGUGAAGCAAUAAAGUUGAUUAUG